rnacentral:lncRNA from 1 species
ACAUGUUUAUUCAUACCUGCUUCGAUCUCCGUCCAAAAGUCAAGCUUCUUCCCCAAACAGUUGUUCGACCAUCAUCACACCUCCGCUACUUCUCACCUUCUGAUUCAUGAAAGAUCGGAUUAAUUUCUCUAUGAUAGUGAAUCAUCAACCGGAGAGGGUAAGCCUUAUGCUUUGACGACACCUCACUUUUGUUUUAACCAUCUAUUUCGGCAUAUCAUACCCUCGAUUUUGUUUUCAUGAAUUGAUUCUCUGCUUUUGUUCGACAAUUAGGGAUCGAAGGCAUCUUCACGAGCGAGAAUUUCAGCUAAUCAUAUGAUUUCGUAUGAUUCGCUUCUCAAGGAAACGGUUGAUGGUAAAAGAAGAUGUUGAUUGUCGUCGAUCAAAUACCAAAUACUCUCUUUUGCACGAACAAAUCCUCAAAUCCAUGUCGACCCUCUGAUUCGAUUGGAUCGUCACUAUCCAGAAAGCACAAAUUCCCUUCCAAUUGUGUAGUUCUCUUUCCACAACCAAAAAAAGUCCCAGCUCCUUGAAUUAUCGUGUGCUCCACCGGAGGUUGAAGACGGAGAUUUCAAUCUUUAUGUGUAUUUUAUUUAUUUGCACCUUGGUACACAUUUAGGGGUGUUUGACUUAGCUUUUCUAAGUCCAAAAUCCUUUUUAGGAAAAAUUAUAAAAAAGUCAGGAUUUUCUGACUUUUUCAAAAAUUUCAUUUUCCUUGUAUAAAAACUCCA